rnacentral:antisense_RNA from 1 species
AACAUUCGGAAUAUAACUAACUAACUAACUUCCUUCCUUCCUUCCUUCCUUCCUCCCUCCCUCCCUCCCUGCCUUCCCUUCCUUCCUGCCUUCCUUCUUCCUUCCUCCCUUUUUUCUUUUCUCCCUUCCUUCCUUCUUAAUAUGUUUUUGGCCUUUUCUUUAUAUAUGUGGCCUAGCAAUAUCCUGUGUUUGGAAAAGUAUAAACCUAAGGCAUCACCUUUACAGAAAAUAUCUUCCACGGAAACAUCUAAAGGCAAAAAUCCUUCAAAUUCAAAUUUAUCCAAUCAUUUCUUCUGCUUACUACCAUCCUAAAUCAUUUUUCUUUAGUAAGAUCUAUUAGUGGGAAGCUAUUAAGCUAUUAAUGUAUCAUAUUAAUUGUAUUCAGAUAUUAAGGCCACAGAUCAGCCCUGGGGUUCAGAGGGAUCCUGACGGCUACUCCUCAAGAUCCUCUCUGUUGUGAUUCAUCCCCCCCGGGCCCUACAGUUUCUCCUUCCUGACUCUUACAUUUCUUUGGAUGGCAUCAUUAUUUACCUGUCUCCUCCCAUAGUUAGGUGCCAAGCACUGUGGAUUCUGCCCCUCAGUGUCCAGACACCCAUUUUCCUUCCCACUGUUCCUUCCCCAUGGAGAAGCCUGUGGCUGGCUGACAGCAGAGAGAGAUGCUCAACUUGGAGAAGGUGUUACCUGGGCCAGGUGGGGAAGGUUUGUUUGCAGAGCAAAGAAGUGAAGGAAGUAUUAACCCUUUGCAUGGCCUCCUGAGAAUCCGACAAGACGUAAAUAGCCAAGAAUAUCUGUGGAACUUAAUCACUGAGUUACAGUAUUUAUCACUGCAAGUGUGUUGUUCAUUGACACUAUAAAGCCAUGUGGAAUUAAGCAGCCUUGAAACACAAAAUGGAGAAAGGCUGAGAGCUGAGA